AGUAAGAGUGGGUGCAGGCAGGGCCUGAGUGGUCACUAGAAAUGAGAAAGCACAGUUGGUGCCAUCACAUACCUUCACCUCCUGCUUUAUUCUGAAGUUCAAGUAUGAGAAUACGUGUUGACAUACAAGCCAGCUAUGGUGCAGUCAGCCUCAGUUUCCAAAGCCAGAAAAGGAUCCUCUAGAAGCCACGGUGUGGCAGCUGCUCUGAACCAGGACCUGGACCCGGACCCAAAGUGCCAUGUCUUCAAUGUUAGCUCCCAGCGAUGCCAGAUGGGAUCAGCACAGCCCUGCCUCUGCUGCUAAUUGUUCCUCUAAAGUAAUCGCCAUGCGUUCUUCGGGCUUCACCUUUAAAGGAAUGAAGCAACUGAGAUUAUUCUGGAAAACCUUUUGGCGAUUGGUGAAAUUAGAGUACAACUAAGAACAUUUUCAGACCUCCACUGUGGAUGACCUGGGUAUAAUCUCACAAAUCGAUGGGACUGCAAGGAUUGUAAACUGAAAUGAACAUGAUUAUACUCUGUUGGAAGAGCCUAAGAGGAAACUGAUGCCAUGAGUUUCAGAGAGUAAUGCUUAACCCCAGUUACACAGGAUGCCGUCUUGUGUUUCCUCUUGUUUAGUUACCCACUACAGUGAUUUUGUGAUCUGCUAAUGGGUUGCCACCCACAACCAUUGCUUUAGCACUUUUCCUUCAAAUCAAUGAAGGAUUGAUAAAAGUUCUCCUGGUGUCUCCGCAGAGUGGCUUCCAGGAACAGAUCUUUGCAUAGAAUAUCAGUGGUUUCCUUUUUUGUUUCAAAUAGUGGUCAGAAAAUACCCAGUGUUGACUCACCAAGGCAAUCAGCUUCCUUUUUCCCUUUUUUUUUUUUUUUUUUUAAAUUUUAUAUUUUUGC
rnacentral:lncRNA from 1 species